rnacentral:rRNA from 1 species
ACAGGGGGAUAACAGUUGGAAACGGCUGCUAAUACCGCAUAAGCGCACAGCAUCGCAUGAUGCAGUGUGAAAAACUCCGGUGGUAUAAGAUGGACCCGCGUUGGAUUAGCUAGUUGGUGAGGUAACGGCCCACCAAGGCGACGAUCCAUAGCCGACCUGAGAGGGUGACCGGCCACAUUGGGACUGAGACACGGCCCAAACUCCUACGGGAGGCAGCAGUGGGGAAUAUUGCACAAUGGGCGAAAGCCUGAUGCAGCGACGCCGCGUGAGCGAAGAAGUAUUUCGGUAUGUAAAGCUCUAUCAGCAGGGAAGAUAAUGACGGUACCUGACUAAGAAGCACCGGCUAAAUACGUGCCAGCAGCCGCGGUAAUACGUAUGGUGCAAGCGUUAUCCGGAUUUACUGGGUGUAAAGGGAGCGCAGGCGGUGCGGCAAGUCUGAUGUGAAAGCCCGGGGCUCAACCCCGGUACUGCAUUGGAAACUGUCGUACUAGAGUGUCGGAGGGGUAAGCGGAAUUCCUAGUGUAGCGGUGAAAUGCGUAGAUAUUAGGAGGAACACCAGUGGCGAAGGCGGCUUACUGGACGAUAACUGACGCUGAGGCUCGAAAGCGUGGGGAGCAAACAGGAUUAGAUACCCUGGUAGUCCACGCCGUAAACGA